rnacentral:misc_RNA from 1 species
AGAGAAAACAGCGAAGAGCAAAAGAAUGGAUGCUUAUACGUGGCACAAAGUAGCUGCUAUUUCCGGAGUUGCAGCACUUGGGUUGGGCACAUAUGGUGCCCAUGUCUUCAAGCCCCAGAAUCCCUCUUACAAGGAGGUAUGGCAAACAGCAUCUCUAUACCAUUUGGUUCAUACUGCAGCUCUUCUUGCUACCCCUCUCACUAAAAAACCCCACAUUUUUGGGGGCCUCUUGACAACUGGGAUUCUUGCUUUCUCUGGGACGUGUUACACUGUGGCUUUACUUGAGGACAGAAAGUAU